AAAUUGGCGCUGUAGUCGCAGACGAUUAUUCACGUCAAGUUACUACUCUACAUAUUACGAAUAUAUUUUAUGGAGCAAUGUAGUUUGGUGAAAGAUUCGAAGUUUAAACUGUUGUACUCACGUGUGUAAAGGAUUACCAUGGCGACUGUUGCAGCAACAAAAGUUCAAGAAGUUCGUGAAAUCACAAGAAUUGAGCGUAUUGGUGCUCAUUCUCAUAUUAGAGGUUUAGGAUUAGAUGAUAGUUUGGAACCUCGUCAUGUAUCUCAAGGUAUGGUUGGCCAACUCAUGGCCCGUCGAGCUGCUGGUGUUGUCUUGGAGAUGAUAAAAGAUGGAAAAAUAGCAGGACGUGCUGUCUUAUUAGCAGGUCAACCUGGUACUGGUAAGACUGCCAUUGCCAUGGGAUUAGCUCAAGCGUUAGGAAUUGAUACUCCAUUCACAUCGAUGGCUGGAUCUGAAAUUUAUUCUUUGGAGAUGAGCAAAACAGAAGCAUUGACUCAAGCUAUAAGAAAAUCGAUAGGAGUUAGAAUUAAAGAAGAAACUGAAAUAAUAGAAGGCGAAGUAGUAGAAAUUCAAGUAGAUAGGCCUGCUACAGGAGUUGGUGCAAAAGUUGGAAAAUUGACAUUAAAAACUACAGAGAUGGAAACAAUUUAUGAUUUAGGAAAUAAAAUGAUUGAUAGUUUAAUGAAAGAAAAGGUACAAGCUGGUGACGUUAUCACGAUUGAUAAAGCAACUGGAAAAAUUAAUAAAUUAGGACGUUCAUUUACAAGAGCUCGAGAUUAUGACGCAACAGGAUCACAAACGAGAUUUGUACAGUGUCCAGAGGGCGAAUUACAAAAACGAAAAGAAGUAGUUCAUACUGUUACUUUGCAUGAGGUUGAUGUUAUAAAUAGUAGAACACAUGGUUUCUUAGCAUUGUUUUCCGGCGACACUGGUGAAAUUAAAUCCGAAGUAAGAGAUCAGAUAAAUGCUAAAGUAGCCGAAUGGCGUGAAGAAGGAAAAGCAGAAAUAGUACCAGGAGUAUUAUUUAUUGAUGAAGUCCAUAUGUUAGAUAUUGAAUGUUUUUCCUUUUUAAAUCGUGCAUUAGAAAACGAAAUGGCACCAGUUGUUAUUAUGGCAACAAACAGAGGAAUUACGAGAAUCAGGGGAACUAAUUAUAAAAGUCCUCACGGUAUUCCCAUCGAUUUACUCGAUCGUAUGAUCAUCGUUCCUACAACUCCGUAUCAAGAAAAAGAAUUGAAAGAAAUUUUAAAAAUAAGAUGCGAGGAAGAAGAUUGCGAAAUGGCGGAUGAUGCAUUGACUGUUCUUACAAGAAUUGCUUUGGAAACGUCUUUGAGAUAUGCUAUUCAAUUAAUUACAACCGCAUCUCUUGUCAGUCGACGUAGAAAAAGUACAGAAGUGAGUAUAGACGACGUGAAACGCGUUUAUUCUCUAUUUCUCGAUGAAAAUAGAUCGACACAAUUUCUUAAGGAAUAUCAGGAUGAUUUUAUGUUCAAUGAAUUACCCGAAGAACCUAUGGAAAUUUCGUAACAGUAUGUAUCUUUUUUCAUUUUUCAGCUGAAGAACCUAUGGAAAUUUCGUAACAGUAUGUAUUUUAGUUAAAUUUAUCUAUCGUUUAUAUUAAUUAAGAAUUUUUUAUUUUUAAAUACAGUAUCUUGUUCGUAUCACAUAAAUAUUUAUGGAUUAUGAUAAAUACGAUUUUCACGAUACAAAGUAUUUUAUAUCUCAGAUCCAGUUUCUUUUGAUUUUCUUGCGAUAUUAUUUUGAAUAUAAUUAACAGAUAUUAUAUAUAACAACUUGUCAUAUAUGGUUUCUAAAUUAGAUAGAAACACACAUUAGUAUGUAUCUUUUACAUCCCUGUAAGUUUACAUAUGUAUGUGUACAAAAUUUAAUUGAUUGGAUAUUCAAAAUAUUCGAAAUUAUAUUUACAAGGAUGUAAAAGGGACAAACAUGCUUUUGUACAUUCUCUGUUCGAUAAAUAAAUCUAAAAAUCAUUAACAAAAAUUCUAUUUUGAUUUUAGUUAAUAUAAGAAUAAAACAAACAUAAUUUCUUUUACUGUGUCAUAUAUAAUCCAUUAGUAUGUACAUGUGUGUAUAUAUAAUAUAUACUAAAACAUUAUUCAAAGUAAAAUUAGUUAUUAAAAAGAAAUGUGUUGGAGAUAAAUUAAUUUUUGGUGUAAAGCAUUUAAACUUAUGUUAGAAACGAUCUCAACAAUUUGCGUAGAAUUAUAAUAAGCUCGCUAAAUUACAUUAAAUAUUUAUCUUCACGAAUCAUUUAUUUCUUAUGUAAUCGAUCCAAAUUAGGUUUUCUUUUCUUGACUUUUUUUAACUGAAAGAUUAAAAAAAAACAAAGUUUGUAUAUUAUAAAGAAGAAAAUGAGAUUCAUUAUUUAUUUAUUUAUUUAUUAUUUAUUUAUUCAUUAGGUACUCAAAUACUUACUUGUAAUUAAUUUCACAGUGCCAUCUGGUUUAAACGAGGAUUGAGCUUUCUUAUCUUUUGAUAUAAAACCUAAUCCAUAUUCAACCUUAUAAACUGGCAAUGGGAUUACGGUAGAAGAUACGGGUAUCAUUACUGAAAAUAAAUAAUUAUUAUAUCAAUAAAUAAACGACAAAUGUUUAUUUAUCGAUCGUUUAAGAAAAAGAUCAAGAAAUGUUUUGAAUCGUCGAGUUCGAUACGAGGUUAAUGUGUAUCGCGUGUCUCUGACUUUGUAAAUAAAGCACAACAAAAGAGUAACUUAUACACAAAGAUAUCAGUUCUUCGCUGAUCUCCGUGGACCACGGACGUUAUUUUUGGAGGCCUACACGAGUAUUAAAUAUAUAGGACAGAGAGAGGGAGUACUGUAACCAAAAUAUUACAUAAAGCAAUAAUCGAUAAAUAAAAUCUGGAACAAAACAAUGCACCAUUCUAUAAAUACACAUAAAAAACAAUUAUAGAAACGUAAGAACACAGAGAAGAAUGAAUACUACACUCGCUAGGACGCUAUUCCAAAUAUCUCAACUAUUUUAUUACCGACGAAGCAAUUUCCUUUUUAGUAGAAAAAUCUGAAGAAGAGGGUAUUAACUUUAAAGUACUAAGAAACUCUUAUUGUCCAACGUCUUUCCAUUCCGACUUUUAAUAAAACAUGUCAAACAAU